UUCUCUUCAGGACCAAAAACUUCAUCUUGUCACUGUGCCCUACAAUAGCCAGUCAUUUCAUUGAUUGGUUGACGUGGGUAAGUGGGUGUCUGUAGUAAGGGAAAGUAGACAGAAAAAACGGUAAAAAGUAAAAUAUGAACUGAUUACUCUUGAAGAUUUGAAGCUUCAUAGCCAUAUUGUUCAAAUGACUGCAUUAGUCUUUCAUCAUUAUUUUUCAGAAUUCAUCCACUCCCCGGUUGAUAGAGGUGGGCUUGAAGGUGCUGAUGACUGCUGGCCACCACUAUUGCAAUAAUACAUUUUUGUCAUAGACCUGAAAAUAAAGUGUGGAGAUGCUGGCAAGGUGUACUGAUUCAUCGGUGUACUGCGCAGGCGUGAACCAGCUGGCUGGUGGGGUACCAAAUGGCUGCAAGCUUGACAGCAGGGCAGCGGCGAGGCAGCGGCGGGGCCGGAGAAAGGAAAGCGUUUGGCUUUGAACCCUUGGUGACCGCCUCCCCGGACCUUUGAUGUCCCAGCCACAGAGUUGAUGUGGCGGCCACAGAGUUAAGGGGCGAGGCUGUGCUGUGUCACCUGGCGCACCGUGAUCCUUUGUGAGGCCGCUGUGCAGCUCCCUGAUGGAAGAGUGGCCUCCUUAGCCUCGCAGGGCCUGGCGUUACUUAGCAGUGUGGAGCAAAAUCAGUGAGUGAAUGUCCAGUAUACUGCUGCAUGGAGUGUCACGCGUGAGGAGGUACCCGGUUGGCCUCCCUUGGCCCCUCGGCUCUUCUCGCUAGCCAGGCCGUGGAGGAAUUGCCGGACAAGCUGUGUUAGUCUUGCAGAACAUGACAGCCGGGUACAGCGGGGGAUGAGGUGCAUCCCUCAUCGGCGGCCGUCACAGUAACAGGCGAGGGCGAGAAGCUGCGGUGUGUCAGGUCCCCGCUAGGUGCCCGCCACAGCUGAUGGAGGUGGCAGCCCGCCGCGACCCACUGGUGAGCUGUCUGCGGCCCGCCUUUGUUUGCAUGUUACUGGCUCGCUUAACAAGAGGAAAGCAAGAGGCAUCAACUAAACAGAGGGUCAUCCGUCAAGAACAGAGAUAGAACAGUUUGCCAUGAGCCGCUUAGGAUGAGAAGAAAACGAUGAACUGAUGGAAGUUGCCGAAGAAAGGAU